rnacentral:rRNA from 1 species
GACGAACGCUGGCGGCGUGCCUAACACAUGCAAGUCGAACGGAAAACAUAGCAAUAUGUUUUUAGUGGCGAACGGGUGAGUAACGCGUAGACAACCAACCUUUUUGUGGGGGACAACACUUCGAAAGGAGUGCUAAUACCGCAUGAGCUCCAGAUGCCGCCUGGUAUUUGGAGGAAAGGAGCUUUACGGCUUCGCAAAAAGACGGGUCUGCGUCUGAUUAGCUAGUUGGAGGGGUAACGGCCCACCAAGGCGACGAUCAGUAGCCGGUCUGAGAGGAUGGACGGCCACACUGGGACUGAGACACGGCCCAGACUCCUACGGGAGGCAGCAGUGGGGAAUCUUCCGCAAUGGACGAAAGUCUGACGGAGCGACGCCGCGUGAGUGAUGAAGGCCCUUGGGUCGUAAAGCUCUGUCAUCAGGGACGAACGGUCACGUCAGGAAAUGGGCGUGAAUUGACGGUACCUGAGAAGGAAGCCACGGCUAACUACGUGCCAGCAGCCGCGGUAAA